AAAUUGAAGAGUUUGAUCAUGGCUCAGAUUGAACGCUGGCGGCAGGCCUAACACAUGCAAGUCGAACGGUAACAGGAAGCAGCUUGCUGCUUCGCUGACGAGUGGCGGACGGGUGAGUAAUGUCUGGGAAACUGCCUGAUGGAGGGGGAUAACUACUGGAAACGGUGGCUAAUACCGUAUAACGUCGCAAGACCAAAGAGGGGGACCUUCGGGCCUCUUGCCAUCAGAUGUGCCCAGAUGGGAUUAGCUAGUUGGUGAGGUAACGGCUCACCAAGGCGACGAUCCCUAGCUGGUCUGAGAGGAUGACCAG
rnacentral:rRNA from 1 species